rnacentral:lncRNA from 1 species
UAGGUGUGCAUGACAUACUGAUCAUCAUUUGAACUAAUCUAUGAUCUUGUUUGCAAUUUCAGGGUGGUGUAGCAAGCAAGCAAGAAUUGGAGAGGUAUCAUUAUGAGCUAAUCUGGACCAUGUACAGAGUUGACAAUAGUUCAAAAAAUAUCUGUGCACUGAAGGUUGAGAUUCCAAUUCACAUGUACAUUGUUCUGCAUUUUCUACAGUCUUCGGUGCAUGCUUGGAGAAGAGGCUAAGAUGAGAGGCUUCAAUCUGGAGAUGACAAGGAUAGUCACCUGGUGCAACUAAAGGUUCGGUUUCAUACUUGUGAAGUUGUGAUGAUAUUGUUCAGGUAGUACUCCCUGACUGAUUUCACUUGUACUAUUUCUUCACAGAAGGUAC